UACGUAGGGUGCGAGCGUUAAUCGGAAUUACUGGGCGUAAAGCGUGCGCAGGCGGUUUGUUGUGUCUGAUGUGAAAGCCCCGGGCUUAACCUGGGAAUGGCAUUGGAAACUGGCAGCUGGAGUGUGGCAGAGGGGGGUGGAAUUCCGGCGUGUAGCAGUGAAAUGCGUAGAGAUGCGGAGGAACACCGAUGGCGAAGGCAGCCCCCUGGGCCAACACUGACGCUCAGGCACGAAAGCGUGGGGAGCAAACAGG
rnacentral:rRNA from 1 species